rnacentral:rRNA from 1 species
CUUUACUGCAACUUCGCAGUGGUAUUAGGAACUGGAUGUGUAGGAUAGGCGGGAGCCAAUGAAGUUGGGGCGUCAGCUCUGAUGGAGGCACCGGUGAAAUACCGCCCUUACGGUUUCUGAUAUCUAACUUCGGCCCGUUAUCCGGGCUAAGGACCCUGCGUGGUGGGCAGUUUGACUGGGGCGGUCGCCUCCCAAAGAGUAACGGAGGCGCGCGAUGGUGGGCUCAGGCUGGUCGGAAAUCAGCCCUCGAGUGCAAUGGCAUAAGCCCGCCUGACUGCGAGACCGACAGGUCGAGCAGAGACGAAAGUCGGCCAUAGUGAUCCGGUGGUUUCCAUGUGGAAGGGCCAUCGCUCAACGGAUAAAAGGUA